UACAGAGGUCCCAAGCGUUGUUCGGAAUCACUGGGCGUAAAGCGCACGUAGGCGGAUCUUUAAGUCAGGGGUGAAAUCCCGAGGCUCAACCUCGGAACUGCCUUUGAUACUGGGGAUCUCGAGUCCGGGAGAGGUGAGUGGAACUGCGAGUGUAGAGGUGAAAUUCGUAGAUAUUCGCAAGAACACCAGUGGCGAAGGCGGCUCACUGGCCCGGAACUGACGCUGAGGUGCGAAAGCGUGGGGAGCAAACAGG
rnacentral:rRNA from 1 species